rfam:Procavia capensis cont1.553771, whole genome shotgun sequence.
AUCAAAAUCCGAACCCUGCAUUAGCCACCAGGUAGGUGAUCGAUCCGGUAGGGAUCCUCCUUCUGCCACAUGGUGAC